rnacentral:misc_RNA from 1 species
AAGUCGUAACAAGGUUUCCGUAGGUGAACCUGCGGAAGGAUCAUUAUUGAAUAAGCUUGGUUGGGUUGUUGCUGGCUCUCAGGAGCAUGUGCACGCCUAACACCAACUUUUACCACCUGUGCACCUUCUGUAGACCUGGAUAAAACUCUCGAGGAAACUCGGUUUGAGGAAUGCUGUGCGCAAGCCAGCUUUCCUUGUACUUCUGGUCUAUGUUUUUAUAUAUAAACUCCUAUAGAAUGUCUCGGAAUGUUUGUUUGUUGGGCUUGAAUGCCUUUAAACUUAAAUACAACUUUCAACAACGGAUCUCUUGGCUCUC